GCUCAGUUAUCACGUGGUAUUUCAAAUAUCCACACAGUAUGCAUAUCAUUUGAUAGAUCUCCUCAUAAUGCACAACUUUGCCUCAAGAACCAUUACUGUCAGUCAAAUCGUUCAUUAAUUAUUCACAAAUAUGUUAAAAACAUACUUUUGCGAACUAGUCCUAGGUUUUUUGCCCGAUCGGAACCAAACCACUGCUGUAAUAUUCUGUGGACUCUCUAGAUCAAUAAUUAUCGAAAAAAUGUUGAAUUUUGUCCUUCGGUUAGCUAUAACUUGGUCAUUUUUAAAAGGGGUGUGGCCAAAUAUACUAAAAAGCCUAUAAAACCUAAAUGAAAACUCAAAACUUUAUGAAACUUGGUGGAAACAUGUAGCAGAUGACUCUUAACAAGCAUACAAAGAUUCAUGGAGAUCGGACCAUAGGUGGCGCUAUAACACUUAAAAGGGCAUCAAAAAACACAAGAUUUCUACAGAAAAUGACCUCAAAUUGUAGAACAUGUUCAUAUAUUCACACAAACACUAGAU
ensembl:lncRNA